rnacentral:rRNA from 1 species
AUUGAACGCUGGCGGCAGGCCUAACACAUGCAAGUCGAGCGAGCGGCGGACGGGUGAGUAAUGUAUGGGGAUCUGCCCGAUGGAGGGGGAUAACUACUGGGAACGGUGGCUAAUACCGCAUACUCUCGGAUGACCCCAUAUGGGAGUAGCUAGUAGUUGGGGUAAAGGCUCACGUAGGCGCGGAUCUCUAGCUGGUCUGAGAGGAUGAGCAGCCACACUGGGACUGAGACACGGUCCAGACUCCUACGGGAGGCAGCAGUGGGGAAUAUGGCACAAUGGGCGAAAGCCUGAUGCAGCCAUGCCGCGUGUAUGAAGAAGGCCUUAGGGUUGUAAAGUACUUUCAGCGGGGAGGCGUUACCCGCAGAAGAAGCACCGGCUAACUCCGUGCCAGCAGCCGCGGUAAUUC